CUCACCUGCCCAGCUCUUCGCCGAUGUGGUAAUAAUCGUCCACAUUUUCUUGUUUAAACACGGUCAUGGUAACUGGCUACUGCAUCCCGGCGUACAACCAGCCGUACAAAGACAGGCUUUCCUGAAAGAAGAUUCAAAGACUGGAUUGCUGUUUCCAAGUGCAACUGAGAAGAAUGAAGUGGAUGCUGGACAGUAGCGGUUACAAAGCAAUUAUCCAAUGUACUUUUGGCUCUGAAUUGAUGGACCGUCCCAAAAGUCAGUUCUGCUAAACCCAAAUCACAUUUAACCUUCACCCUUUUGCAAUGAGCUGAUCUCAAC